UAGUUUGAUCCUGGCUCAGGACGAACGCUGACGGUGUGCUUUAGACAUGCAAGUCGAACGAGAAAGCCCUUCGGGGUUAGUAAAGUGGCGAACGGGUGCGUAACACGUGGGCAAUCUGCCCCUCGCAGGGGGACAACUGGAGGAAACUCCAGCUAAUACCCCGUAAGCUUUCAGGGUCGCAUGGCCUUGUAAGGAAAGGUAGCUUCGGCCAUCCGGCGAGGGAUGAGCCCGCGGUACAUUAGCUAGUUGGUGGGGUAACGGCCUACCAAGGCGACGAUGUAUAGCUGGUCUGAGAGGAUGAUCAGCCACACUGGGACUGAGACACGGCCCAGACUCCUACGGGAGGCAGCAGUCGGGAAUCUUGCACAAUGGGCGAAAGACUGAUGCUGCAACACCCCGUGUGAGCGAAAAGGCCUUCGGUCGUAAAGCUCUGUUGUUGGGGAAGAAGGGCGAAGGGUUAAUAGCCCCUAGCUUGACGGUACCCUUCUAGAAAGCCCCGGCUAACUACGUGCCAGCAGCCGCGGUAAUACGUAGGGGGCGAGCGUUGUCCGGAAUUAUUGGGCGUAAAGAGCGUGUAGGCGGUUCGGUAAGUCUGUCGUGAAAACCUGGGGCUCAACCCCGGGCGUGCGAUGGAUACUGCCGAGCUAGAGGGUGGU
rnacentral:rRNA from 1 species